UUGUUCUGGUUGUAGGGCCCGCCCCAGACGUCUGGAGUCCCGGGGCCGAAGCUCAGUAAAAGUACGUUCCUGUCUUCUUCGGUGCGUCUUCUCUCCUAGGGCAUUCUUUGCGCGCUCCUGGUGCUUUACAGGAGAUCUGCGCCUCGGUUCCAUCCCGGAUCGGGAUAACCCCCUAUUCUCAACCGAGCUUCCUACCCUGGCAGGGGUCUCUGCUGCCUGGGGGCCCGGCCUUGGGGCCUGGACUGGAAAGAGUGACUUGCGUUCCGGAGUCGCAGCGGAAAGCGGGAGGGUCAGUGGCUGGGAAAGGAAAAGGACGCUUUAGAGGAAUCUGAUUCAUCCCUUCUGACCAAGUCCCGCAACAGUUCUUUCCAGAUGUGUGCGUGUGUUCUAAGACAUUUCGGUAGUGUCUGACUCUUCGCAACCCUAUGGACUGUAUCCUGUCAGGCUCCUCUGUCUAUGGGAUCCUCCCGGCAAGAAGACUGAAGUGGGUUGCCUGUGCCUUCCCAACACAGGGAUCAAACCCUUGUCUCUAUGUCUCCUGCAUUGGCAAUUUGUUUCGACUCUGGAUUGAACCGGGGCCCUUGGCAGUGAAACCACAGUGUCCUAACCAGUGGACCACCAGGGAAUUCCCACCUUGCUGAUUUUAAACACAAAUCCCUGCCAGACCUCAAUGAUAUUGUGAUUUAAGAAAUGUAUAUUUGGUCUUCCUCCACAGUUCUGGCACAAAAACCUUUGCAGUUUCCUAAUGAUAAGUAUCUUGGGGAUAUCUUUCCUUCUCAGCUUCUGAAAUAGCUCCUGAAUGAAAUCCAUGUCCUUUCAGCCACCUCUGAGUUUAUGUAAAUAUGACUUUUGGAAAGUCCCUAAGGGUAGGGACCUCAGAGGAGGAGAGAGGGGCUGGAGGUUAAAUCAACAGCUAAUGAAGCCUCCAUUAAAAAACCCCAAACCAACUUGUUCAAAGAGCUUCCAUGUUGGUGACUCUAUGGAGCUGCUGAGAGGGUGGCGAGCCUAGAGAGGGCAUGGAAGCUCUGCACCCUUCUUCACACCGAGCCCUGUGCAUCUCUGCCACCUGGCUGUUCCUGAGUUAUUAAUAUAUACUUUUGUAAUAAACUGGUAAUCCAGCAAGCAAACUGUUUUCCUGAGCUUGGGGAGCUGCUCCAGCAAAUUAAUCAAGUCCCAGGAGAGGGUUAUUUGAACCCCCAGUUUACUGCUUGUGGAUCAGAAGCACAGGUUAACAACUUGAACUUGUGACUCAUCAGGGGCGGGGCUCAGUCCCCCAAGAUUUUAACCUGUUUGAUCUGAUGGUAUCUCUGGGUAGUGUCAGAACUAAGUUUAAAUGUAGGAAACCCAGCUGGUGUGGUAGCAUUGUUUGGUGGGGCAAAAAAAAAAAAAAAAACUAUCACACAGUAAGCGAUCAGAAGUGAGAGAAGUGCUGUGAGUCGACAGAAAAUAGAAGAGUAUUUUUUUUUCCUAAGCAAGCUCUAAAGAGGUCUAAGUCUGAAACCCAAGGCAGCGGUUGUCAAACCUUAGAGUGUUUUAGAACCAAUUUGCAAGACUUAAAACCUCAGUUGGUGGACUCCAUCUGCAGAGUUUGUGAUUCAGUAGGUCUGGAAGAGCAAGUGCUCACUUGAUGCUGAUGGUACUGGGUCUCGGAACAUACUUUGAGAACUACUAGAUCUGGCCUGCCAUCCCAUUUAAGGUGGUUUCAGACUAAGGGAAGGAUAGAAUUAAAAUAAGGAUGAUCAGACGUCAUAGUAAUAGAUGAUGAUAUAUCAGCAAAUUUUCAAAGUACUGCAAGUAUAAAAUAAUGGUUCUGUGACUCUUACUUGGAAAAGGUACUGCAUAAUUAACGUUUCAAGGAUAGAAUAUACAUGUCGGUAAUAUUCAAUUCCAUUUACUUUCUAAAUAAAUUGAUGCCGUAUUUU